rnacentral:lncRNA from 11 species
GAAGAUUUUCCUAUUAGAAUUCAGUUUUGGAUACUUGACAGUACUCAAACGAAGAAAGAAACUCCAGAAGAAAGGAACUCCAGCCGGGGAAGACGUGAACAUUUACGUGUCUAAGUGAACAUACGUGAACUGACGGUUCCCGGUUCGUAUGUCAUUACCAAUAAAGCUCACUUGGGAAACGUGCAAAGUUCAAUACUGCCAGGAUGUAACUUCAAUCAUUCAGAGUCGAUUUUCAACCUAACGUACAUGAACCCAUGACGCUGAGUAUACCAUCGAACUAUUUGGUAGCUCGUUUGGGUUUGGGAGGAUUUCAUGGGAAGCUGUAAAUUCGGUGAACUCGCACUAUUGGAGUCUAACUGGAACAAUGUAUUAUCGUCAUUCGAACCGUUCUUGUACGAUCCGUCUCAACCCGUAGUGGACUAUGGUACUUCUGUAUUCUUUCGCAUCCCAAUGUCAGCCCGUACGAGUGGGCCAGCGCCUUUUCUAUUGGCUAGCUUUGUAGCGGGCAGAGACUACAGAAAUUUUGCAUUCAUCGCUUUAAUUCUAUUGACCAAACAAAAGUGCCGCUUGAUUCGUUAGCACAGAUUACCAACCUGAUUGACCACUCCGGCACUAGUCAUCGCCGCCAGGGUCCCCCGACGACAAUACAUGACCUACCGCGCGACUAUCUGUUCUCAUUAUAUAUGAGAUUGUAUCGGACCCUCUGAUGCCUUUUUCAUACGAUCGUUUUGGUCGUUCGUAUGGGAAUAUAUGACUACCGUUAUUACCAUUGUAGAUAUUGCUACUGGUAUUAUGCCGGUCAUUAUUACCUUAUUAUUUAGAUUUGCAGACAGUCAGUCUGCACAUUGGUUGUCCAUGCGCAUUUAUCUGCGUAUUUGUCACCUUGACUCUGGCUUCUUUUUGAUGCUGUUCUGCUCAUUGCAGUCAGUAAUGGUUACGCAACUUGAUUAUAUAUUAAUUAAAACCCCCCUA